GCCCGCUCAGAAACUUAAAGGAAGUUGACGGGGCCCGCACAAGCGGUGGAGUAUGUGGUUUAAUUCGAAGCAACGCGAAGAACCUUACCAGGCCUUGACAUGCAGAGAACUUUCCAGAGAUGGAUUGGUGCCUUCGGGAACUCUGACACAGGUGCUGCAUGGCUGUCGUCAGCUCGUGUCGUGAGAUGUUGGGUUAAGUCCCGUAACGAGCGCAACCCUUGUCCUUAGUUACCAGCACGUUAUGGUGGGCACUCUAAGGAGACUGCCGGUGUUAAACCGGAGGAAGGUGGGGAUGACGUCAAGUCCUCAUGGCCUUUAUGACCAGGGCUACACACGUACUACAAUGGCCGAUACAAAGGGCAGCGACACUGCGGGGUGAAGCCAAUCCCGUAAAAUCGGUCUCAGUCCGGAUUGGAGUCUGCAACUCGACUCCAUGAAGUUGGAAUCGCUAGUAAUCGUGGAUCAGCAUGCCACGGUGAAUACGUUCCCGGGCCUU
rnacentral:rRNA from 1 species